UUAAAUUGAAGAGUUUGAUCAUGGCUCAGAUUGAACGCUGGCGGCAGGCCUAACACAUGCAAGUCGAACGGUAACAGGAAACAGCUUGCUGUUUCGCUGACGAGUGGCGGACGGGUGAGUAAUGUCUGGGAAACUGCCUGAUGGAGGGGGAUAACUACUGGAAACGGUAGCUAAUACCGCAUAACGUCGCAAGACCAAAGAGGGGGACCUUCGGGCCUCUUGCCAUCGGAUGUGCCCAGAUGGGAUUAGCUUGUUGGUGGGGUAACGGCUCACCAAGGCGACGAUCCCUAGCUGGUCUGAGAGGAUGACCAGCCACACUGGAA
rnacentral:rRNA from 1 species